UACGUAGGGGGCGAGCGUUGUCCGGAGUUACUGGGCGUAAAGCGCACGCAGGCGGUCUGCUAAGUUUGGAGUGACAGUUGGUGGCUUAACUGCCAAAGUGCUUCGAAAACUGACAGACUUGAGGGCUUCAGAGGGACACGGCAUUCCGGGUGGAGUGGUGAAAUGCGUAGAGAUCCGGAGGAACACCAAAGGCGAAGGCAGUGUCCUGGGGAGUACCUGACGCUCAGGUGCGAAAGCCAGGGGAGCGAACGGG
rnacentral:rRNA from 1 species